GACGAACGCUGGCGGCGUGCUUAACACAUGCAAGUCGAACGAAGAGCGAUGGAAGCUUGCUUCUAUCAAUCUUAGUGGCGAACGGGUGUGUAACGCGUAAUCAACCUGCCCUUCAGAGGGGUACAACAGUUGGACACGACUGCUAAUACCGCAUACGAUCCAAUCUCGGCAUCGGGACUGGAUGAACGGUGGCCUCUAUUUAUAAGCUAUCAUUGAAGGAGGGGUUUGCGUCUGAUUAGCUAGUUGGAGGAGUAACGGCCCACCAAGGCGAUGAUCAGUAGCCGGUCUGAGAGGAUGAACGGCCACAUUGGGACUGAGACACGGCCCAGACUCCUACGGGAGGCAGCAGUGGGGAAUCUUCCGCAAUGGACGAAAGUCUGACGGAGCAACGCCGCGUGAGGGAUGACGGCCUUCGGGUUGUAAAGCUCUGUUAAUCGGGACGAAUGGUUCUUGUGCGAAUAGUGCGAGGAUUUGACGGUACCGGAAUAGAAAGCCACGGCUAACUACGUG
rnacentral:rRNA from 1 species